GUAGGUACACUAAAUAAAAUAGACCAUCCUUUUAACGCAGGGGUUAACACCCCUUGCCUACC
rnacentral:tRNA from 1 species